AUGGAUGAAGAGCUGGACGACGUGGUCAUUGGGAAAGCAAAGGCGCAGCAAUUCAAGGAGGAAUCUCGAUGGCUGGCGAUCGAAAGGGUCAAUACGGAUCGGCCUUUCGGUUUGUCGUCCUUCUUUGAUACCAUGAAGUUUAUUUGGGGACUAGCGCAAACGCCAAAGUUCAGAGAGGCGGGAGCGAAUAGAUUCAUAUUCCAGAUGUUUUGCGUGGGAGAUUGGAAGAAAGCAGUCCACAAUGGUCCAUGGUUCUUCCAAAACUAUGGGGUUGUCAUUGAGGACUACGAUGGGACUACGGAUCCAGAGGAAUAUGUGUUUGAUGGCCUUUAUGUAUGGGCGCAGAUUCCUAAGGUUCCCGAUAUUUACCGCCAUCCAGAGGUGGUUGAUGAGUUAGAACGCAGAAUUGGUAAAGUCAGUGAGGUUCAACUCCGCCCUACUCUGUACUAUGAGGGUGACUAUGUCAGGGUUAGGGUUCGUGUUCUCACAACAAAACCUUUGACAAGAUUCGCUCCUCUAACUGUGGAGGGAGAGGGGAGACAGAUGUUAGUGGUGAAAUAUGAAAAAAAUUCCUUUCUUCUGCAAGGUUUGUGGUCUUACGGGACACGGUUUUGA
rnacentral:rRNA from 1 species